rnacentral:rRNA from 1 species
AACAGGAUUAGAUACCCUGGUAGUCCACGCAGUAAACGAUGAAUACUAGAUUUUUGCGAUAUACUGUAAGAGUCUAAGCGAAAGCGAUAAGUAUUCCACCUGGGGAGUACGCCGGCAACGGUGAAACUCAAAGGAAUUGACGGGGGCCCGCACAAGCGGAGGAACAUGUGGUUUAAUUCGAUGAUACGCGAGGAACCUUACCCGGGAUUGAAAUUUAGAUGGCGGCAGAUGAGAGUUUGCUUUCCUUCGGGACAUCUAAGUAGGUGCUGCAUGGUUGUCGUCAGCUCGUGCCGUGAGGUGUCGGCUUAAGUGCCAUAACGAGCGCAACCCGCGUCGAUAGUUACUAACAGGUCAUGCUGAGGACUCUAUCGAGACAGCCGUCGUAAGACGAGAGGAAGGGGCGGAUGACGUCAAAUCAGCACGGCCCUUACAUCCGGGGCGACACACGUGUUACAAUGGCAGGGACAAAGGGAAGCGACAUGGUGACAUGAAGCGGAUCUCCAAACCCUGUCCCAGUUCGGAUCGGAGUCUGCAACUCGACUCCGUGAAGCUGGAUUCGCUAGUAAUCGCGCAUCAGCCAUGGCGCGGUGAAUACGUUCCCGGGCCUUGUGCACACCGCCCGUCAAGCCAUGGAAGUUGGGAGUACCUGAAGAGCGUAACCGCAAGGGGCGCUUAAGGGUAAUACCAGUGACUGGGGCUAAGUCGUAACAAGGUAACC